CUGCUGGUAAAGGUCAUUACGUAUUACUUUACUUACAAAAGAAACCAACAGGGAUUGCCCUAGUAACGGCGAGUGAAGCGGCAACAGCUCAAAUUUGAAAUCUGGCCCCAGAGCCGAGUUGUAAUUUGUAGAGGAUGUUUCUGGAGAGGUGCCUUCCGAGUUCCCUGGAACGGGACGCCAUAGAGGGUGAGAGCCCCGUACGGUUGCGCUAUGCCUAUGUGAAACUCCUUCAACGAGUCGAGUAGUUUGGGAAUGCUGCUCUAAAUGGGUGGUGUACGCCAUCUAAAGCUAAAUACCGGCCAGAGACCGAUAGCGCACAAGUAGAGUGAUCGAAAGAUGAAAAGCACUUUGAAAGAGGGUUAAACAGUACGUGAAAUUGUUGAAAGGGAAGCGCUCAUGACCAGACCUGGGCCGGUUGAUCAUCCGCCGUUCUCGGUGGUGCACUCUGCCGGCCCAGGCCAGCAUCGGUCUGGCGCGGGGGUCAAAGGUUCCGGGAAUGUGGCUCCCCCCGGGGAGUGUUAUAGCCCGUUGCGUAAUACCCUGCGCUGGACCGAGGUACGCGCUCCGCAAGGAUGCUGGCGUAAUGGUCAUCAGUGACCCGUCUUGAAACACGGACCAAGGAGUCGUCUUCGUAUGCGAGUGUUCGGGUGACAAACCCCUACGCGUAAUGAAAGUGAACGCAGGAGAGAGCUUCGGCGCAUCUCCGACCGAUCCUGAUGUUCUCGGAUGGAUUUGAGUAAGAGCAUACGGGGCCGGACCCGAAAGAAGGUGAACUAUGCCUGUAUAGGGUGAAGCCAGAGGAAACUCUGGUGGAGGCUCGCAGCGGUUCUGACGUGCAAAUCGAUCGUCAAAUAUGGGCAUGGGGGCGAAAGACUAAUCGAACCUUCUAGUAGCUGGUUUCCGCCGAAGUUUCCCUCAGGAUAGCAGUGUUGAACUCAGUUUUAUGAGGUAAAGCGAAUGAUUAGGGACCCGGGGG
rnacentral:rRNA from 1 species